rnacentral:rRNA from 1 species
CACGUAGGGCGCAAGCGUUGUCCGGAAUUAUUGGGCGUAAAGAGCUCGUAGGCGGUCUGUUGCGUCUGCUGUGAAAACCCGGGGCUUAACCCCUGGCUUGCAGUGGAUACGGACAGACUAGAGGUAGGUAGGGGAGAAUGGAAUUCCCGGUGUAGCGGUGAAAUGCGCAGAUAUCGGAAGGAACGCCGGUGGCGAAAGCGGCGUGCUGGAUCUCUUCUGACGCUGAGGCGCGAAAGCCAGGGGAGCAAACGGG